rnacentral:tRNA from 1 species
AUCUAAAUAGUUUAAUAAAAAUAUUAAUUUGUGGAAUUAAAGAUGUAAAAUUACUUUAGAUA